CUUCAGGAUGGCUUAUCUCCAUGAAAUUAGUAAUUGGCAUUUCUUUCUGAAGCCGGGGAGAGCGCCAGCAGCCAGUAACACCCACGCCACACUCCGCUCUCUGAGCGAGGCCCCGCAGCCAGAGAAGCGAGGCUAAUAAAAGUAAUAACAAGGAAUUAAACGGGAGGGGAAAGGAAAAAAAAAAAAAGAAAAAAAAAAAAGAGGCAGAAAGCGCUGAAAUCAGAUUUAACUUUCCCUUUUGCUUCCCGGCUGUUUUUGGGGUGGGUAGGGCCGUGUCAGGGAGGGGCGGCGGGCGGGUUUCGGGUGCCCUUUGGGAGAGCAGGGGUGAGUCAGGGCGCUGAGUGCUCCCUCCCCUGCCGAGCAGCCCUUCCUUCCCCAGCCCUGGAUGCAGACGCGGAUUUACAAACCCCGUUUCAUCUCCGCAGAGCCCCGGGGGCGGCAGCCGCAGCCUCAGCCUUCGCCACCAUCACCGCCUCCUCCUCCUCCUCCCCCGGCGCUCCCGGCUCGUCUGGCACGUCGGGGCGGCACCCGCAGCCAGAACAGGUUUGGGUUGAUGGUUUCCAGCUGCUCAUUAACGCUCCUUGGCUUCAUUAGGGGUUUUUUCCAUGCGUGCCAGCUCAUCCUGUGCGGUGCUUGGAGAGCCCAGAGCCCUGGCAGGGCCCGAAGGGCUCCAGGAGAGCNNNNNNNNNNNNNNNNNNNNUCCCUGGAAUGCCCAAGGCCAGGCUGGACACUGGGGCUGGGAGCACCUGGGACAGUGGGAGUUGUCCCUGCCAUGGGUUGCCCUCUAAAGUCCCUUCCAACCCCAACCACUCUGGGAUUCCAGGAAAUCGGCCUCCUGUGCUUAUCCCGGGUUAUCCAGCAAAGCCCAGAAAUUGCCAUGGAUGGAUUGGGGGCCCGGCAGUCUGGACAGAUCCCAUUUGCCGAGCUCCUCCUGCCCGGUGUCCCUGGCUGGAGCUUCCAUCAUCCCAUUACACGGCUGCCAGCGGAAGGGAGGAACAAAUUACCCCAUAAAUCAGCUCCUGCCAGGGCAGGGACAGAGCCGGGAGGGGAGGGAUGGCACGGAGGGGAUGGAGGCGGGAUGGGAAGGAUGGGGAGGGCUGAGCUGCUCCCAGAGCGAGCGCUGGGCUGGGCUCAGCUGGGCUGGGAUAGUGGGUGGAUUGGGCAGGGAUAAUCCAUGGAUUGGGCUGGGAUUGCUGUGGAUUGGGCCUGGAUGUUCCUUGGAUUGUGCCUGGACAUUCCAUGGGCUGGGCCUGGAUCCAUGACUUUGCCUGACACUCUGUGAGCUGUGCCGGGUUUUUCCAUGGGCUGGGCCUGGACAUUCCAUGGACCAACUGUGCCUGGACGUUCCUUGGGCUGGGCCUGGAUGUUCCAUGGACCAACUUUGCCAGGACACUCCAUAACUUUGCCUGGACAUUCCUUGGACUGUGUCUGGACGUUCCUU
rnacentral:lncRNA from 1 species